rnacentral:lncRNA from 12 species
UGAAAACUUUGUAUUUUUUUUAUUAUGUUUCCUUUGAGGCUUACGGAAUAUAAGUAUACGCAUGACCUCAACUGAUCACAUAGCAACCUCAUGGAAGCAAACAAUGUAGUUGGUUACCCCAUGCUACAGGCAAGGGAACCAAGGCUCAAAGAGCUGUUCCUUAGCCUAGGUCAGUCAAUGUAAGUGCCAGGAGUUUCAGGCCUGAGUCUACAUGCUCCAAAUCCUGUGUUCUUGAGCCUCACCCUAUAGUCGCCAAAGUGAAAAUGAUUAAGUUUAAAAUGACUUGUUAUAAUGACUUACUCUCCCUUCCUUCUCUCAAACCCAGGAGUUUCCUCAAACUUCCAGAAGAGACUCAGGAAAGCAUGAAUUCUGGCAAGAAGUCACUCAAGCAAUACUGAAUUACCAUCAAACAAUGAGAUAUCAGGGCCAUGGUAAUGUUCUAUUGGAAUGCCUCUACUCCAGGAAAACAAGUAAACAAACAAAUAGGAAAACAGAAGCGCAGUAACUUGGCAAGAAAGUUUGUCCUUACUGAGAUCUUCAAGGAACAGAAAGUUUUUCCACAAGGAAAUGUAAGAGUCUAAAGAUGCUUCCCAUUGAAGAAUGUCUAACAGAGGACAUAAAAGAAACCUGCAGAGAACCAAAGUCAUACAGGAAAGGAGGCUAUAGACUAGAUACAAGUUCAAGGUGAUGGAAGCGUCGGAGAAGGACAUAUCAACAUCGAUUUACCUUAUUCAUGACAAAACUACUCAAUUUUCCAAAGAGUUUUUCAAUUGACUGAUUUGGAAGCUUUUUAUUCUCAAGCAAGAUAUCCUCAGCUGGAGCAACACAAUAAAAAUAAUUGGUAACAGCUUUUCA